rnacentral:tmRNA from 1 species
GGGGGCGACAGGUUUCGACGGGUUUAGCUAGUUAGGGUCUGCGUGCCGAUGACCCGGGCAUCGUUAAAAACGGGAACAAAACAAUUAAUUGGCGACGAUUAUUCGUAUGCUAUGGCUGCCUAACUAAAACGGUAGCUCAUCCGACCGGGGUACGCUUUCCGGCCCUGAUUCGGGUGUCGAUUAGGGAAGCUGGCGAUGAAAGGAUUACUCUGGCCUGACGUCGUGAGAUUUAUCAGGGUCGGCCUGAGAUGAAGCCUGGUUUUCCGGCGUCUCUCAGGCGAGAUUAAUAGGAAACCUACGCAUGUAGAUGGCCCAUACGGGUUAUUCUCGGACGGGGGUUCGAUUCCCCCCGCCUCCAUUU